CGGCUACAUCGCGCGUUCCCGAACGAUCAACGAAGUUAAGCAACGUCGAGCAUGGCCAGUAUCUAGAUGGGUGACCGAUUGAGAAUACUAGGUGUUGUAAG